rnacentral:lncRNA from 1 species
CCACGUGGAUGGAGUGAACUAUUUUAGUAAUUAGAAUAUGUAAUUAAAGAUUUUAUUAAUAGUUAGUAUAUAUUUCAGUUUUUACCAAAUUUUGUGGAAAAUAAAUUAAAUUUAAUAUUAUCAAAUUGAUUCAGUUUGUUCUCCAAAGUCAAUCACACCCUUGAAAAUAAAUCUUUUUUAUCUUUCAUUUAUCAUGGAAGAUAUCUUUUACUUAACCUAUUUGGAAUGUAAGCAUUUGCCAUUUAAGCUUUAAUACAGAGAGUAAGGGCUUGACAUUUGAGAAACAACAAAUAACAAAGGGGGACGUCACAGUCAUUGCUGACCUUUAAGCAACCAAUGUUUAUAACUUUAAGACGACAGCGUCCGUGACCUGCAAGAGCUAUAUCCGCCGCUGCCAACGCCAUAUCCCCAUCACCGUGCGCCUUAACGUGACCGUAGACGCUACGUCAGAUGACUUUCCAAGGGAAAAGAUCCUUUGCAAUUUUGCACUUUUAUUUCUCCUUUGACGGUUCAUUCACGUGUUGCAAUAUUUUUACGCCAUCAGACUCCUAAUCAAACCCUUUUGCAAUAAUAGUCAAAAGACUCGAGACUUCAUCUCUUUGAUCCCCCCACCUUAUUUGGAGAUCAAUCAAGACGACUAAAGCCAGCCACAAUGACGAGGAGUACUGAACCAUUUCAACCAACCCAUGGAUUGAAACCAGUUGUUUUGGACCCAAAUUCUCACCGUCCUCUUGCAAGUUUGGAGUGGUAAACAAAAGUAGCUACAAAACCAAGAAAAUUAAGUCUAUUAUAACCCAACAGAGGCUCUUCCCUUGGGAUGCAAGUUGCUCAAGAAAACAUGGUGCUCACCGCUGGAGAGAGCAAAUUAAAGGUUAUGAAUUCCUUGGGACCUGAGGGCCUAGCCAAAAAAAAUCAUGGACGGUUGUGCUUCGCCUUGGAACUUUGAGUGGGACACGAAGCCCUGGCUGGCCUGUGUAAAAA